rnacentral:misc_RNA from 1 species
GAUGAAGAACGUAGCGAAAUGCGAUAAGUAGUGUGAAUUGCAGAAUUCAGUGAAUCAUCGAAUCUUUGAACGCACAUUGCGCCCUUUGGUAUUCCUUAGGGCAUGCCUGUUCGAGCGUCAUUUAAACCUUCAAGCUAAGCUUGGUGUUGGGUGACUGUCCGCUUCACGGCGGACUCGCCUCAAAAUUAUUGGCGGCCGGUACAUUGGCUUCGAGCGCAGCAGAAACGCGAACUCGGGCCCGUCGUAUUGGCUCCCAGAAGCUAUCUUCACAAUUUUGACCUCGGAUCAGGUAGGGAUACCCGCUGAACUUAAGCAUAUCAAAAGCGGAGGA